rnacentral:rRNA from 1 species
UGGGGAAUAUUGGGCAAUGGGCGCAAGCCUGACCCAGCAACGCCGCGUGAAGGAAGAAGGCUUUCGGGUUGUAAACUUCUUUUGUCGGGGACGAAACAAAUGACGGUACCCGACGAAUAAGCCACGGCUAACUACGUGCCAGCAGCCGCGGUAAUACGUAGGUGGCAAGCGUUAUCCGGAUUUACUGGGUGUAAAGGGCGUGUAGGCGGGAUUGCAAGUCAGAUGUGAAAACUGGGGGCUCAACCUCCAGCCUGCAUUUGAAACUGUAGUUCUUGAGUGCUGGAGAGGCAAUCGGAAUGCCGGGUGUAGCGGUGAAAUGCGUAGAUAUACGGAGGAACACCAGUGGCGAAGGCGGAUUGCUGGACAGUAACUGACGCUGAGGCGCGAAAGCGUGGGGAGCAAACAGG